UGCAUUAAGAACGUGGCAAUGUGCUUGGUGGCUCCGAAUGGAUCCUGUCCUCAUCUGAUCAUCAAAAAGAAAAUAAUGAAUCGAUUGCUGAAUGUUGGGCUGACGUUGCACCGAUAGGACAUACAGAUCCCAACACCUGUGGAACAUCUGCCACCAACAUUGAGAUCAACAAGGAGCUUUUUCCUAUUCUAAAUAUUUGCAUCCAUCACUUUCUCCAACAGCAAGGGGCCUCCUGAGGCCAAUUACAUUUCAUCAGUCUGGAAGUAGAAUGGUGGAUAAAAGACAUGUGAGUAUAUUAAGACACACUGUAGAGAAAAUAUCUGUGGGACCUAUAUACAGUCAGAUAAUGAUGGUGACACACUUAGGGCCUACAUUAGUUACCUUGCUAACUGUGUGGGCUUAUUUUUAUAACCAAGUGAAGCUGAUGCAAUACAAAACAGACAACCCAAAAAUAAUUCGAUAUAUUUAAAAAGUCAGGGUGCAAGAAAAGCAACCAACUAGUAGGAAUAUAAAUGUGGCAGUAUGAACAUUUAGAGAAAGAGAUGUUUUCAGUGUUCCAUGAUGAAUCGCUUUCUCUCUCGCCCACAUGCAGCCGUGGGAUGACUCGCUUGUUCAGCCUGUUAGUGUAACUUGGUACGGACCAUUUGCCCACGUGAGGGUCUGUAAAUUAAUUUACCCUAAAAAAGAAGCUAAUGCAUGCGAUGGGAUCAGAGGCGUUGAUUACUCCUGUCAGCAAAUCCUGACAGUUCACCUGAGACAUAACAGUUGGAGUGUGAACUGGAAGUGUCGCUACAUCAACCAAAGAUGAAAGUGAAUAAAAGCUCCUUCUGGCAGCAGGAUAAUAGUCAAUCAAAAAGUUAGUGUAAGUGCCUUCUUAAUAAUUGCGCGGCCCACUCAUAUCAGUUUGGGUAUGUCAGCCGCUUUACGAGGUCACUGGCUCAGCACAAGGCUCCAGUUGGUCACUUGGGGCCCAAGGUAACUAAAACCCACGCACCUUAGCAUAGUUCAACUUCAACAAAAGGCGAGUUAGGUCAUUUAUACCACUUUGUCCUGUUUUGAAAUUAGCAAAUUUGCUCCUAAAAAAAGCUAGUUUGAACCUUGCCAUCAUAUCACACAAAACACUGACAGUUGAUUUUAAGGACGUAUUUUCAUUUGCUUCCUGAAAUCACUGCUUCAGCAGGUCCUCUUAAUCUAUUUUGCUUGGCUCUGAUCUUGUUCCCACAUGCCCCUAGUGCCCCCCAAACAAAUUUCCGAUGUAAUUAGUGCACCUCAUCUCGGCCCUUUUCACAUCUGCUGAAUGAGGAGCUUGUGCCCUCAUAAAGGGCAGUGGGAAAGCGACAGUACCUGCUGUGCCAGAUGCUCACACUGUGCUGUUUUCUGUUUCAAUAAAUAUUUACAUCUUACAGCUCUCUUUCUCUCUCUUGCUCUGCUCCCAUAUUUUUUACACUCUUGAUUUGCUACCAGACGUGAUUCGAUCUGCAGUUCAUUUAAUCAACAUAGGGCAGAAUUGCAAAUAAGGAAAAUGUCGAGAGAAUAUAUACUCACUGGCCACACACUUCAUUAGUUAUGCCCAAUGAAAUCCAAAAGAGCUGUAUCAAAAGCUGCCUCACGCCGAGAACUGCAUCUAUAAUUCUGACUUUCCUUUUAGCAAAAUAAUGUAGCCCACAAAUGAGAAGACUCACUACAAAUGCAGUCCACUUUUAAAUCAAGUGUGUUGCUGAACUGGAAAAAAAGCAGGACGGCGGCUCCCUAGAACCGGACUUGCCUAGACCAGACUUUGGCAUUUGUUGUGAUGUGUGUGGUCCUCCUAUGUGCCGCCCAACAAUUACGAAAAUCAUCAAAACAGCUGUCAUAGUCACACCCACCGUAUAAUAAUGCUUCGCUAAUGGUGCCAGCUAAACUGAGCAUUAUUACCUUUGUACUUCAAAGUCUGAUUGUGAAAGUAUCCCAUAAAUGAACAGGAGGGCUCAAAGAACUAGUGAAUUAUUGAAAUAGUCAGAGAUGAACUGCAAUUGUCUUACCUGAAUAUUUAAAGAACAUUUAAUGAGCGCUUUUUUGGUCUGGUCAUCCACAAGGUAUUGAAAGCAUUUUGUUACUUGCAUGUUUUAUUUAAUUACUUUUCUAAAUGUGUGCAUUUGUAUUUCUAAAAGUAAAUUAAUGACUCACAUUCUAUUCCUAACCUUCAGUUUAUCUGCAUUACCACUAACUAUAGUCUUUGACAUUUGCAUUUAUUCCCACUGAUUUUUUUU